rnacentral:ncRNA from 1 species
UGCGGUCACAAAAAUCUAUUUUUGAAGGUCGACUAUGCCAACGGAUCAGAAGGAAUGAAUAAAUAACAUAAAUGAUUUAG